rnacentral:rRNA from 1 species
AUGGCUCAGGAUGAACGCUGGCGGCGUGCUUAACACAUGCAAGUCGAGCGGAGAUAUAAAAAGGAAGCCCUUCGGGUGGAAUUUUACAUCUUAGCGGCGGACGGGUGCGUAACACGUGGGUAACCUGCCCCUAUCACUGGGAUAACACACUGAAAAGUGUGCUAAUACCAGAUAACAUAAGCUUUUGGCAUCAUUAGCUUAUCAAAGAAUUUCGGAUAGGGAUGGGCCCGCGUCUGAUUAGCUAGUUGGUGAGGUAACGGCUCACCAAGGCAACGAUCAGUAGCCGACCUGAGAGGGUGAUCGGCCACACUGGAACUGAGACACGGUCCAGACUCCUACGGGAGGCAGCAGUGGGGAAUAUUGCACAAUGGGCGAAAGCCUGAUGCAAGCAACGCCGCGUGAGCGAUGAAGGCCUUCGGGUCGUAAAGCUCUGUCCUAUGGGAAGAUAAUGACGGUACCAUAGGAGGAAGCCCCGGCUAACUACGUGCCAGCCGCAGC